rnacentral:rRNA from 1 species
CCUGGGAACUGCGUUNUGAACUGGGUGACUAGAGUGUGUCAGAGGGAGGUAGAAUUCCACGUGUAGCAGUGAAAUGCGUAGAGAUGUGGAGGAAUACCGAUGGCGAAGGCAGCCUCCUGGGAUAACACUGACGUUCAUGCUNGAAAGUGUGGGUAGCAAACAGGAUUAGAUACCCUGGUAGUCCACGCCCUAAACGAUGUCAAUUAGCUGUUGGGCAACUUGAUUGCUUAGUAGCGUAGCUAACGCGUGAAAUUGACCGCCUGGGGAGUACGGUCGCAAGAUUAAAACUCAAAGGAAUUGACGGGGACCCGCACAAGCGGUGGAUGAUGUGGAUUAAUUCGAUGCAACGCGAAGAACCUUACCUGGUCUUGACAUGUACGGAAUCCUCCAGAGACGGAGGAGUGCCUUCGGGAGCCGUAACACAGGUGCUGCAUGGCUGUCGUCAGCUCGUGUCGUGAGAUGUUGGGUUAAGUCCCGCAACGAGCGCAACCCUUGUCAUUAGUUGCCAUCAUUUAGUUGGGCACUCUAAUGAGACUGCCGGUGACAAGCCGGAGGAAGGUGGGGAUGACGUCAAGUCCUCAUGGCCCUUAUGACCAGGGCUUCACACGUCAUACAAUGGUCGGUACAGAGGGUAGCCAAGCCGCGAGGUGGAGCCAAUCUCACAAAACCGAUCGUAGUCCGGAUUGCACUCUGCAACUCGAGUGCAUGGAGUCGGAAUCGCUAGUAAUCGCAGGUCAGCAUACUGCGGUGAAUACGUUCCCGGGUCUUGUACACACCGCCCGUCACACCAUGGGAGUGGGGGAUACCAGAAGUAGG